CUAUUUUUCAAACCCAAGUUAUAGUGCACAUAGACUAGAUCAUUCAAUCUUUUGUGUUCCAGUUUAUUCCUCUUCGCUGUGUGUAUUCUUUCAAAUACACUCCAAUUUCUUUCACAACCAGAAGAAGAUGCUGUUUGACUCAAAAUCUGAAUAGCUAAUUGGGAUACCAUAGGAGCACUAAAUCCAAAUUGUGACCACCAUUG
rnacentral:lncRNA from 1 species